rnacentral:sRNA from 1 species
AGCCAAUGGGAUAUGGAGCGGCUAAUUAGAAAGGCAGAAUCGGUUCAAAGCGGUCGGCAAAUACAUAAACUAUUUUUGUGUAGAAAUAGCUCUCAAAGCACCUAAAAUGAAUU